rnacentral:rRNA from 1 species
GACGAACGCUGGCGGCGUGCUUAACACAUGCAAGUCGAACGGUGACCUCGAGAGCUUGCUCUCGGGUGAUCAGUGGCGAACGGGUGAGUAACACGUGAGUAACCUGCCCCAGACUCUGGAAUAACCCCGGGAAGCCGGAGCUAAUACCGGAUACGAGACGGAGAGGCAUCUCUACCGUCUGGAAAGUUUUUCGGUCUGGGAUGGACUCGCGGCCUAUCAGCUUGUUGGUGAGGUAACGGCUCACCAAGGCGACGACGGGUAGCCGGCCUGAGAGGGCGACCGGCCACAAUGGGACUGAGACACGGCCCAGACUCCUACGGGAGGCAGCGAUGGGGAAUAUUGCACAAUGGGCGAAAGCCUGAUGCAGCGACGCCGCGUGAGGGAUGACGGCCUUCGGGUUGUAAACCUCUUUCAGCAGGGAAGAAGCGAAAGUGACGGUACCUGCAGAAGAAGCACCGGCUAACUACGUGCCAGCCGCCGCGGUAA